GGACUACUGGGGUUUCUAAUCCUGUUUGAUCCCCACGCUUUCGUGCCUCAGCGUCAAUAACCGUGUAGCGAGCUGCCUUCGCAAUCGGUGUUCUAUGUCAUAUCUAAGCAUUUCACCGCUACAUGACAUAUUCCGCUCACCUCCACGGCAUUCAAGACAGAUAGUAUCAACGGCAGUUUCCGGGUUAAGCCCGGAGAUUUCACCACUGACUUACCUGCCCGCCUACGCACCCUUUAAACCCAGUGAAUCCGGAUAACGCUUGCACCCUCCGUAUUACCGCGGCUGCUGGCAC
rnacentral:rRNA from 1 species